rfam:Lactobacillus kunkeei strain LAko contig006, whole genome shotgun sequence.
ACGAAAAAGCAGAAGCAUCCCGCUUCUCGCCUGAGUGAUCGAAAGAGAUGGCUAGGCAUGAUAUCGGAUUAACCUUUGAUUUAAUGUUCAAAGGACCAAAAGCGGGUGCUCAACUGUGGGCAUCCGCUUUUUUCUGCUUUU